GGUUUCAGUUACAACAGACUUCAUCACAUCAGAAAUUUUACUUGUUGUUAACCUUUAAAGAAAUUCAGACCUAGGAAAAUUCCCAAAAACCUUCAAAAAGGCAGAAAUAGAAGAAUGAGAAGGACUGUCUUCAGCGGUGUUUUUAUGUUACUCUGCCUCUUGAGUGAUGUUAGAGGUAUGAUUUGUAGAUUAUGCAACCUCUCAAUGCCCUUCCAUGGAUGUCUUUUGGAUUUCGGAACCU